rnacentral:rRNA from 1 species
ACGCUGGCGGCAGGCCUAACGCAUGCAAGUCGAGCGGUAGAGAGAAGCUUGCUUCUCUUGAGAGCGGCGGACGGGUGAGUAAUGCCUAGGAAUCUGCCUGGUAGUGGGGGAUAACGUUCGGAAACGGACGCUAAUACCGCAUACGUCCUACGGGAGAAAGCAGGGGACCUUCGGGCCUUGCGCUAUCAGAUGAGCCUAGGUCGGAUUAGCUAGUUGGUGAGGUAAUGGCUCACCAAGGCAACGAUCCGUAACUGGUCUGAGAGGAUGAUCAGUCACACUGGAACUGAGACACGGUCCAGACUCCUACGGGAGGCAGCAGUGGGGAAUAUUGGACAAUGGGCGAAAGCCUGAUCCAGCCAUGCCGCGUGUGUGAAGAAGGUCUUCGGAUUGUAAAGCACUUUAAGUUGGGAGGAAGGGCAUUAACCUAAUACGUUAGUGUUCUGACGUUACCGACAGAAUAAGCACCGGCUAACUCUGUGCCAGCAGCCGCGGUAAUACAGAGGGUGCAAGCGUUAAUCGGAAUUACUGGGCGUAAAGCGCGCGUAGGUGGUUUGUUAAGUUGGAUGUGAAAUCCCCGGGCUCAACCUGGGAACUGCAUUCAAAACUGACUGACUAGAGUAUGGUAGAGGGUGGUGGAAUUUCCUGUGUAGCGGUGAAAUGCGUAGAUAUAGGAAGGAACACCAGUGGCGAAGGCGACCACCUGGACUAAUACUGACACUGAGGUGCGGAAGCGUGGGGAGCAAAC